AGCUGCAGAAGAAGCACCGGCUAACUCCGUGCCAGCAGCCGCGGUAAUACGGAGGGUGCGAGCGUUAAUCGGAAUUACUGGGCGUAAAGCGCAUGCAGGUGGUUUGUUAAGUCAGAUGUGAAAGCCCGGGGCUCAACCUCGGAAUUGCAUUUUGAAACUGGCAAACUAGAGUACUGUAGAGGGGGUAGGAAUUUCAGGUGUAGCGGUGAAAUGCGUAGAGAUCUGAAGGAAUACCGGUGGCGAAGGCGGCCCCCUGGACCAGAUACUGACACUCAGAUGCGAAAGCGUGGGGAGCAAACAGGAUUAGAUACCCUCGGUAG
rnacentral:rRNA from 1 species